CCUACGGGAGGCUGCAGUGGGGAAUAUUGCACAAUGGGGGAAACCCUGAUGCAGCGACGCCGCGUGAGUGAAGAAGUAUUUCGGUAUGUAAAGCUCUAUCAGCAGGGAAGAAAAUGACGGUACCUGAAUAAGAAGCCCCGGCUAACUACGUGCCAGCAGCCGCGGUAAUACGUAGGGGGCAAGCGUUAUCCGGAUUUACUGGGUGGAAAGGGAGCGUAGACGGUGAUGCAAGGCAGAAGGGAAAGCCCGGGGCUGAACACCGGGAUCGCUUUUGAAACUGUGUGACUGGAGUGCAGGAGAGGUAAGCGGAAUUCCUGGUGUAGCGGUGAAAUGCGUAGAUAUAAGGAAGAACACCAGUGGCGAAGGCAGCUUACUGGACUGUAACUGACGUUGAGGCUCGAAAGCGUGGGGAGCAAACAGGAUUAGAUACCCCAGUAGUC
rnacentral:rRNA from 1 species